rnacentral:siRNA from 1 species
UAAUUAUAAUUCAAGGCGGUCC